rnacentral:rRNA from 1 species
CACGUAGGGCGCAAGCGUUGUCCGGAAUUAUUGGGCGUAAAGAGCUCGUAGGCGGUUUGUCGCGUCUGCUGUGAAAACCUGAGGCUCAACCUCGGGCUUGCAGUGGGUACGGGCAGACUAGAGUGCGGUAGGGGUGACUGGAAUUCCUGGUGUAGCGGUGGAAUGCGCAGAUAUCAGGAGGAACACCGAUGGCGAAGGCAGGUCACUGGGCCGCAACUGACGCUGAGGAGCGAAAGCAUGGGGAGCGAACAGG